rnacentral:lncRNA from 1 species
UCCCACUCCAGAUGAUCUCUUCCUAGCUUUCACUGUCUGCUAACUGGUUUCCCUAUCUUCUGACUCCAUCUCACCUUUCAAACUCUUCACUCCAGGCACGUGAGUGAUAGUUCUAAAAGGCAAAUACACACAUUUCUUUUAUGACGUUUCUUAUUUUACAAAGCAGAACUUUUGCUUUAUCAUCUACGGAGAAGAAAACUUUGUUCUCAUGCUGGGAUGGGAGAGAGAAAGUUGCUCAGCAGAGCGGGGAAGUAAUCUGGAAAUCAAACUACUUCUCAGAUGCGCAUUCAACAGGGAGCCUGCUUCUGAAAAGCACCAUCUUUACUCUCACUUCCAGAGAGACUCAGAGAGUCAGAUAGAAUAACGAAGAAGAAGAGUUUGCUUGAUUUUUCUCAACUUCCUUCGCUGAACUCUAAGCACCACUUCCAUUAGACUAGAAGAGGCAAGAGGGCAGGGACCAUGCCUGUAUUCUUCACUGCUGCACCUUCAGCUCUUUGCACAUAGUCGGCAACUAGUGAAUGACUACCUGUUACAGAGAUGAAGACAGUUACUGUAAGGAGCACACAGCUGAGAAGGUGGUAGAAUCCAUGAAAUUAAACCAUCUCAGUUUACAUUCAAAAUUCCCUAUCUUCUAAAGUUGGCUACAAUGAAUACUGUAUGUACUGAUUUAUAGUUUGAUUUAACACAUAAAAUGGAAGUACUGUUAUGAGAUUUAAAGAAGAUACUGCAUGUGAAGGACCCAGUGGAGUAAACACUGAAUACAUGUUGGCCAAGCUCCAUCUCCUAUGUGGCAUUCAUCACAAUUAAAAUUUCCCAUUGAUUUGGGUGAUAAUCUGUCUUUCUUUCCCAACCAGAUCAGAAGCUCCACGAAGGCAGGACUGGGAUACCGUGGUGAGCAAAUCUAGCUUUGCUCACCUGGUAUCCCAGAACACACUAGGAUGAUUGCAACCUUGGCCUCCAGUGAAUAUGUGCUUAACCGACGAAUGGAUGAAUGAAGACACUAGCCUUAUUUGUUACUAAAAUUGCCUAACAUAGUUGGCCCUCCAAUCCUGUGUUCUUCAAAAGAUGAAAAGAAAACCAGAACUCAAAUCAUGGUUUGUUGCUUAUGAAAUGAACCAUUGCGUGUUAAAAAUUGUGGCAGUUUGUUCCCCACAGCAGGGCAAGUCCCCACAGGACCCCUGGCCUCAGGUUCUACCUUCAGCCUUCUGACAGAACUCCAGUAAUUGUGCAGUUGUGGUCUUCCAGCAUUCUGAGCUGCCUUUGUGCUCCCAAUAUAGUCGUCAGAGCUUAUUGGAGCAUCAUUUCCCUACAAAUAUCUCAAUAUGGUCCCAUGCCAAGCCUGGUCCUGCAGGGACCAUCUCAUUUGCAUCUGAAGGUAUCAAAAUCUUGCUGAGCAAGUGCCUUCUACCCCAAACAUCUUUCGAGAUACAAGCUCAGCACCCUUUUAACGUGAGACUUCUCGCUUUCCCUGAGGCCUGUUCUGGGAAGGUGAGCUAUAUUAAACUUGCUGCCAUAAUGUUUGGGCUUAUUGAUUUUUUAAAAAUAGUUGGCACCAAACAUCCAAAAGGCAGUUUAAAAAAAUCAAAGGGGGAAAGAAACAAGAAGGGAAAAAUAUGCAGUCUACUGCAGCAUUUAGCAAUGUCCACUGUGGUAGGCAUUUCCAAGUGUGUACGCUUCAAGAUGUAACAAAACCAGGGCUCUUUCCUUGAUGGUCUUUUAAAAUGAAGGUGACAGCUUAAGGCCAUAAGCAACAGCAAAAAGAGGAAAGCAAGUUCAUUGUUUUAUACAGCCAGGCCAGUGCUUGGCUGACUUGAGGAAAGCAGAAAACAAACUUAGGUGAGAUUCCUUGCAAGUAAGGAUUCUCUUCUGCUAUUAGUUCUGGCAACCUCUAAAAUUUGACAGCCAGAUUCAUUAUGGGAAUCUUGAGGUCUGCAAUAUUACCACAAAUUCAAAGGCGCUGUUCACACAGUUGCCUUUUGAGGUUGCAGGAUCAAGUUUGCUCAUCGAUUAGAUUUAGCCUUUCUGAGCCGAGUGCAGGAAACGUUGAGGGGGAUUUUUUUUUUUUUUGGUGUAUAACAUAACUACAUUUAUUUAAGAAUGUAUUCCAAUAUGAACAGCAAAUUUCAACAAUGCAAAAACUGCAAUUAUGUUUGCACUAACCUAAUAGUAUCUUAUUGUUGUUUCAAUGUGCAUUUUUCUUUUUCUAUUUUUUUUUAUUAUACUUUAAGUUUUAGGUACAUGUGCACAACGUGCAGGUUAGUUACAUAUGUAUACA